rnacentral:rRNA from 1 species
UAUUAUUUAAAAUGUAAUUAUUAAUACUUAAGUAGUAAUAGUUAUGUUCUUGAAACUUAAAAAAUUUGGCGGUAUUUUAGUCUAUCCAGAGGAACCUGUUUUGUAAUCGAUAAUCCACGAUGGACCUCACUUAAAUUUGUAAUCAGUUUAUAUACCGUCGUUAUCAGAAUAUUUUAUAAGAAUAAUAAUAUUCAAUAAUUUUUAUUAAAAUUUAUAUCAGAUCAAGGUGUAGCUUAUAUUUAAGUAAUAAUGGGUUACAAUAAAUAUAUUUAAACGAAUAAAAUUAUGAAAAAAUUUUUGAAGGUGGAUUUGGUAGUAAAAUUAUAAAGAUUAAUAGUUUGAUUUUAGCUCUAAAAUAUGUACACAUCGCCCGUCGCUCUUAUUAUUAAGGUAAGAUAAGUCGUAACAUAGUAGAUGUACUGGAAAGUGUAUCUAGAAUGA